GGAUUAGAUACCCUGGUAGUCCACGCCGUAAACGAUGUCUACUAGCAGCUCGCCUCGUUAGAGGGGUUUUGCGCAGCUAACGCGUUAAGUAGACCGCCUGGGGAGUACGGUCGCAAGAUUAAAACUCAAAUGAAUUGACGGGGGCCCGCACAAGCGGUGGAGCAUGUGGUUUAAUUCGAAGCAACGCGAAGAACCUUACCAACUCUUGACAUCCAGAGAACUCGCUAGAGAUAGCUUGGUGCCUUCGGGAACUCUGAGACAGGUGCUGCAUGGCUGUCGUCAGCUCGUGCUG
rnacentral:rRNA from 1 species